GCUAAGCCCUUAACAUUGAUAAGCUACGCUUUCCGCCAGAGAAUUACGAGCCAAAAGCUUAAAACUCAAAGGACUUGACGGUGUCCCACAUCGACCUAGAGGAGCCUGUCCUAUAACCGAUAUUCCCCGUUCCACCCAACCCCCACUAGCACUCAGCCUAUAUACCGCCGUCAACAGUCUACCCCAUGAGGGAAUAGUAGACAUAAUAGUUAACAACUAAUACGUCAGGUCAAGGUGUAGCAAAUGUGAGGGAAGAGAUUGGCUACAUUUUUUAACAUAAAAAAUACGAAAUGCACUAUGAAACCGCGCAUGAAGGUGAAUUUAGUAGUAAAAUAAAUAAGAGUAUUUAUUUUAACAUCGCUCUGGGACGCGU
rnacentral:rRNA from 1 species